ensembl:lncRNA
UCCGUGUUGUCACUGUAACAGCCCAGGAGUGCCUACCUCCAGGCUCCUUUUACGUGAGCAAGAAUUAAAUUUCUCACUUCUUCAAACCAUUAUAAUUUUAGAUUUUCAUUUAUAGGCAGCUGACCCUCACCUUUACUGAUUCAUGGAGAAAUGAGAAAGAGUUUAUAGAAGAUGAGUCAUUUGUGGUUGAUCUUAAAAGUGGAUACAAUUUCAGAAGGUGGAAACUGGGGUGUCUGGAGGUAGAAAAUAAUUUUCAUGGGACAGAGUGAAUAAGAAUACAUCGGAGGUGUUUUGAAGAAAUAAAGAAUAAUUCAGUUUCACUAGGUUGAAUGAGAUGAGGUUGGAAAGGUAGAUAAGAGCUGAAUCACAAAGCCAGAAGCUCUUGGAGAUUAUUUUCAAGCAAUGGAGAGCAAUGGAGGUUUUCUGACUGGGAUGGUAGCAUAAGCGGAGCUACGCCUUAUUUUAGAAACACAGUAUGAGUCAGUUCUCUUCACGUUGCAGAAACAUAUCUCAAAGUAGAUUUUGUCUCAAAGAGAUUUAUGGGAAGAGAAAUUGGGGAAGAGAAACAGGAACUUAAAACAGGAGCCAAGGACCUCAGCAACCAGAACAAAAGACUCACGCCUUAAGGUCUCUUUGUCUUGACUUCAUUCUCUGCUGCAAGAGGCUUCUCAUGGCUGCAGCAUUGCCCCUUAUAGUGGCCCACCUAAGGGGGAAGAAGUGACUUCCCUUCCAGCUCUGGUUGAAGAUAUCUCUGCUGGAAGAUGCACUUUGAAUGGACAACCUUGGAAUAAUGCCAAAGGCCAGCGGGAAGGAUAUGAUGAUUGGCCUGAGUUGCCCACAUGUGUCCUUCCUCUCGUGGAUCCACCGUCCCACGGGAGCUGCGGGGAGACUCCACAGUGGCUGUUUGAGUUGGUGCUCUUGCUGCUCUGCCCUCUUGAGGCCUGGUUCUUCAUCAUUUCCUGGCUUAGGCUCCCUGGUUGGGCACAGAGAGGAAGUCACUGUCUUUGGAUUUUCAGGACACCUAGAGUUUCCUUAGACUCCCUUUAUGCCGCCUCACCUCUGCCCACUGCUACCUAGACUCUCCCUCCCAGGUGUUGUCACUGGCUGAACUUAUAGUUUGGAAUAAAACUAAGCAAUUUUAUUAAUUGUCACCUGAGUUGCAAAGUCUAGGAUGACAAGCAAGCCCUGAAAUGAAAACUUCCAAACUGUCUUGAUUUUGACUAAAUCUUUGAACCAGAGAGGAAAUUUAUGUUGGAAAUGGCUGACUUCUGGGAAGAAGAGGGAACAGCAGAUGGAAUGCCAUUUACCUUGCUCAUUUUAGAUACUGCUGACACUACUAGAGCUGUCAUCCAAGAGAAAAGGUAAUUAAACUCUCAAGGUAAGCAUACUCAGCAAGGAACUGUGUGGAUUACAGAAGCGCGGUGGGGAUGGGAAUGUGAAGGUGGCAGUGGAAACCUAGGGUUAUGAUGUGCCCACUGUGCGCCAGACACUGUGAAAUGCAAUGCUUUCCAUCAUCUCAUUUAAUCUCACAAGAGUAAAGAGCUGAUAUUUACAUAAUUUUGCCCCAACUCUUAGAUUUUAAAUAACAAAGCCAGGAGAAGAAUAUAGGUUCGUCCAACUCCACAGUGUAAGAUUUUCUCAUAUACUUGAGGAAAAGAAACUUACUUUCUAAACAUAAAUCAUAAUGGGCAAUAUCAAUUUAGAGUUUAGCAGAGUUUGAGGCCAUUUCCCUACUGUGAAAUAUCAUGCGUAUUUCCGCAGUAACUGGAAAGCAAAUUAGGGAAGGGUCCCUCCCCCCACUUAAUUAUAUCAAACAAAUGAUCUUACAAUUAUAUAAGAAGUCGCCCAUUACAGUCUAGCCAGUGGCUUGGCUUCUUGUCUAAACCUCACAGUGAAAUAUGCAGACUUUCUGGAACCACGUAUUAAAAUCUCUGCGGUUGAAUCAGCCCUUCUUCUUUCUGCAUAACCUAACCUCAAUACUGUUCAGCAUACAGAGAACUCCGGGAUGAGAUCCUUAAAGCCCAGUGUCAAAAGGUGAAUACCUGAUAAUCAUCACCUUAGUUUCAUGCUCGUGAAAACUGGCUUUGUCCUAAUUUAUUCUCAGAUACGUGGGUCUGUCCUGCAACGAGGUGCCUUGUUUUAUAGCCUUGUAAAGAGAUCGACCCCAAAUUUGGCAUCCGUGUAAAGUAACACAAUGAUGUUCUUGUGUAAACUAGCUCUGAAGAAAAUUCCUCAACAGAUAUGCCGAAAAUAGUGAGCGAUUCUGACAUUCCUCAAAUAAGCAUAUAGUUUCCAAGGUGAUUAUUGUGAAUGACAACCCUCAUGUGGGGGGUUAAAUUGAGUAGAUUUGACAGGGCUGCUGGAGAGCCGGAAGAGCACUGAGUGUUGAGUCACGAAGCCUCCUUUGGCAUCCCUGCCCGAGAGACACCGUUUGCAUUCUGCUGCUACCUGAGGGACAGAGGAAGUCACCUAACCUCUCUGAGCUUCCUUCCACAUUUGGGACACUGUUGAAUGACAUCUGCUGACACCGUUGUGAUAAUCAAGUGAAGCUGACAAUAUGAAAGCCCUCAAAACAGUGGGGCCCUGGAAUAGAAUGUGGUAACUCAUUUAUAGUUAACCUCCAGGUGAAGUCCCACAGUCUGAAAACAAGGUCUUCAAGUACUUAGGAAACAUCAGUGAUGUUAAUAAUUAGCCGUGGUGAGAAAUUCCAAAAUCACCCGUGUGUGUGAGGUCCAUUGAUUUCUGUGCUCGGCGUGAUAUGUAAAGACACCAGUAGAAUCCAUUUGUUCAACUUCAUGAGCCCCAGAAGACCAGCGGGUACUGCUGGCUUUUCAAUCCUGGAGCCUAGAUCUCAGCAGUUUUCACCGACUCACUUUAUCUCUGUCUAGAGUUAAUGAGAUCAGAGUAAACAUACUAAAAAACCUGGUGCUUUGCAAACCUUUAUGGUAUUUUAGAAGGCCAGGAAGAAAUCAUAUUUAUCAAGUGUAGGACUGGGUUGGGAGAAGAGUAGGACCAUAGUGGGUCCAUUCUGUCUGUGGGCUCAAAUACGUCCUUGGAGAUUUCUCCUGGAGGCAAGACUAUGCUGUGGAUAGAAGGCAGAAGUGAGAGCCAAGGACUUCACUCCUUCCUAAUCCGAGUUCUUUCACAGCAGCUACUUUGAGUUUUCUGUCACCACCUCCGUAGCUCACAAGCCCAUGGACGCUAGAGUGCCAUUUCUGCCCCUAGCAGGGAUAAACAGCUGCGUUAUGUUGGUGGAGUUACCUAGCCUCUCUUUGCCUUGGGUACCUCAUCGGUAAAGUGGGGAAAAUAACAGAACCGAUUUCCUUCAUACGUGUAAAGCAUUUGUAGAAGUGAGAAGCUGGGAAAGACAGCAUUUAAAAGCGUCAAUUCUGGGGGCACCUGGGUGGCUCAGUCAUUAAGCGUCUGCCUUCAGCUCAGGGCGUGAUCCCGGGGUCCUGGGAUCAAGCCCCAUGUUGGGCUCCCUGCUCCACUGGGAGCCUGCUUCUUCCUCUCCCCCCCCCCCCGCUUGUGUUCCCUCUCCCGCUGGCUAUCUCUCUCUCUGUCAAAUAAAUACAUUUAAAAAAAAUUGUCCUUAAAAAAAGAAAGCAUCAAUUCUGAAGAUAGAUUGCCUGGGUUCAAAUCCCAGUUCCACCACUCAUUUGCUCCUAUGAUCUUCUAAAAAUUGGGUGGUUAUAGUACUAGCCUCAGAUGAAGUGUGCUAUGCAUGGAUGGAUCUAACAGGGUCAGUGUAUAGUAAGUGCUAUACGGAUGCCUGCUGUUAUAUUAUUACUUGUUUCUGGGAAGGAUAUGGAAAUAAAAAAUUAAAAAUUUCCAACAUUAUUAUUUUUUUUCUGUGUUUGGUUCUAUUAAGUAUAAAAGUCACAUCAUAGUGAUGUUGAGAUUUCCUUCACUUUCUAGGCCAUGUCCUAGACUUUGGCCAUGUCCCUUACUUAACAUUUCUCUUUUCUAAGGAUUAGAUAUUGGCAUAUAUUUUACUGAUUCUUUAUUAAGACUAUUUUAUUCCCUGGUUUACUUCAAGUUCAGUAUCCAAUUCUUUUCUUCUUCUGAAAGCAACAAGUCAGUAAAUUUUAGAGGCUGUGUACAGAAGGGACUCACACAUUGGGAGGAUGAUAAAUGAACUAAAUAUUUGUUUGGGACAAUUUCUGAUUCUGUCUCUUCUCUCCUUUCCUUGCAGCAUUCAUUUCAAUGUUUUUGCCAUUCAUUUAUUCCUUCAGUAUUUAUUGCGAAGGCUUGUCAGGCACUGUGACAGGCGGUGGAAAAUUGUGGUUCUGACACUUGAAUGGUAUUUUACAGCUUACUGAUCGUUUAUGUUAAAUUCAUAUGUUAAAUUCAUUCAGUCCUCCGAGGUGCUCACUUCAUUUCACCCAGCUCUUCCUCCCCUUUUAACUUUAUAUUUCUCAUAACCAUCCUCGUUUCCUUGCUCAAAUCUUUAGUGUGCUGAAUAUUUGCCAAGUGCAUGGGGGGCGCAGUGGGGUGGGAAGUUGAUAGGAAGAGAAGGUGGUAGGUGAGGGAGGAGAUAUGAAUCAUGAGAAUGUAGGUCGGAGAUGUUUCCAAUACCCUAUACUUUAGGAUAAAAGGAUAAAGCACUGCCUCUUAUUUAGGAAAGUCCAAAGAGUCACUUGCAAAGGAACAAUGACCAUCCCUGUACCCAUCAUCAGAAACUGGAUUGAGACUAGACACAGGGCCGGCAAUACCUUAAGUAUAUUUAACAUACGCAAGAAGCCAGAGUUAUGGCCUUCCCUUCCUUCAUAAACACGCAGGCCCUUAAGUGCCAGCAUUAAAGUUCCCCAAUUACACUUCCUCCGGAGUUUCAUGAUAUUAACCAACAGACAAGAAAUAGAACAUACCAAAUUGACCAGAAAAGUAUUCCUUCAGUCUCAGAUCACCUGUGUCAUUCGUUAUAAUGCCUCUCAUGCACAACCUAGAUUUCUAUAAGGAAAUACCAAUGGCUUCCUGCAGUUAGACUAGCUUGUGGUGGAUAAAUGGGUUAUGUCAGCUAGUAGAGACCGAAGGAAGUAUGCCGCUGGUGUGUAGGCAUGCAGUAUUUCUCACAUUUGAGCUUAUACUGAUUUCUUCAAGGUACUUUGAAGAUUCACAGGAUACAAGCCAAUGAUAACCAUAGAUUAACUUCUGUGAAAUGUACCAGUCUCAUUCCUUACCUAGAUGCCUUUAACUUGCUUUGCCUUCUGCAUCGAACGCUCUUCCUCCAGAACUUUCCAUGGUUCUCUUUCUUGUUAUUCAGCUCAAAGUCACUUCAUGGAGAGGCCCUCCCAGCCAGUCCAUAUAAAGUAGUAUCUCCACUCUCAGUUCCUCUAUCUCAUUUCACAAUUCUGUUUACUUCAUGGCAUUUAUCUCUACGUAAAGUGGACUUACCUAUCUCUGUACUUAUUAUCUCUCUUCCUCACAACACUGUAAGCUCCAAGAAGGCAGAGAUUAUUUUUUCACGCGCUGCCUGGAACACAGAAGGCACUUAAUGUACAUUGGUCAAACGAGCGAGUGAGCAACAGAUGCUUACCGAAUGCCUAUAAUACGCCACUCCUAUUCUAGGCACUGGGGAUGUGGUAAUGAAUCAAGCAGACAAACUCCCUGAACUCUUGGAGUUUGCAUUCUAAUGCAGGGUAACAGAAAACAGAGAAGGGGAAGCUGCUGGGUGGGGCUGUGCUAUAUUAAAUAAAGUGAUCAAGGGAAGGUCUUGCUGUAGGGUCUUGAAGAAGGUAAGGAGGGAGGCACCUGAAGAAGGUGAGAAGAUAAGGCUGACGGGGGUAGACUUUAGCAAAGGGGAUAGGAAGUGCAAAGGUCCUGAGAAAAGAGUGGAGAGGCUAAAGUGCUAAAGCCAAUGAGCUCCUGGGUGAGUGGCAGCAGAUGGGUGGAGAGGUGCU